rnacentral:rRNA from 1 species
UACGUAGGUGGCAAGCGUUGUCCGGAAUUAUUGGGCGUAAAGCGCGCGCAGGCGGUCCUUUAAGUCUGAUGUGAAAGCCCACGGUUCAACCGUGGAGGGUCAUUGGAAACUGGGGGACUUGAGUACAGAAGAGAAGAGUGGAAUUCCACGUGUAGCGGUGAAAUGCGUAGAGAUGUGGAGGAACACCAGUGGCGAAGGCGACUCUUUGGUCUGUAACUGACGCUGAGGCGCGAAAGCGUGGGGAGCAAACAGG